rnacentral:rRNA from 1 species
UACGAAGGAUGCAAGCGUUAAUCGGAAUUACUGGGCGUAAAGGGUGCGUAGGCGGUUCGUUAAGUCUGUCGUGAAAUCCCCGGGCUCAACCUGGGAAUGGCGAUGGAUACUGGCGAGCUAGAGUGUGUCAGAGGAUGGUGGAAUUCCCGGUGUAGCGGUGAAAUGCGUAGAGAUCGGGAGGAACAUCAGUGGCGAAGGCGGCCAUCUGGGACAACACUGACGCUGAAGCACGAAAGCGUGGGGAGCAAACAGG